CAGAGGUUGAAAUAUCUAUACUCUUACUAUAUCAAAAAGGUGUAACUCUCGAAGUUUAGACGAUACAUUAACUGUGGAAUGGAAGUCAAUUUAAUUAAAAUAUAGAUGGUCAUUCUCACUACGUUACAUGAACAUCUAACAACAUCCCAUAAGGGGUCACGUCGGGGUGACCUUUUGGAUUAGCCAAUCAAAUGGCUACUUCCAGAAUCUUGGAAGUGAAUUUUAUAUGUCCGAACUAGCAUUACAACAGUACAUAGCUUGCAUUAUCUGUUAGUUUGUUUCAAGUCAUUUCGUCCCAGAAAGCAUAUAUCUACAUGCUGUGCCGAAAUGGUUUGCUCUAGAUGCAUGUUGUGACGAAAUGGUUUGCUUCGAUGACAUCGACAAUUCGCCCUAAAAGUGAAAUACAUAUCUCAAAGGUCAUCAGAACGUGACCCCUUAUGGAAUGUUGUUAGAUGUUCAUGUAACGUAGUGAGAAUGACCAUCUAUAUUUUAAUUAGAUUGAAUGGAAGUAGGUUAUUGAAUGGUCAACAAAUAUAGUUAACAGCCAUUCGUGGCUCUCUAAGGUUGUUUUUUUAAAUUUGGAAGUUUAUACUAUAGCAAGCUACAGAAGUAAAAGUACAUUAAAGUAUACAUGUUAAAGCCACAUACUCCCAAAGAAAUGUUAACAUUUCGAGCUCUUUACAGUUUUCAGAUUUAAUAUAUACCUAACAAAUUAUCGCGAAUCAAAAACUGGAGGAAAAUGUGUAUAUAUAUGAAAAAACAAAAAUGUAUGAGGGAAAUUCUAUGCGAAAUAGUCCCAUAAUGCAACAGCCAAAACACAGACAGAUUCUGCCAAAAAGAAGCGUAAAAGUGACUGGAAUUGGCAAAACCAGAGUAUUUUCUUAGGAAAUGAAAUGAUUGGUUGGAAGUUAGCGAGAGAAGAAAGGGGAAUAGACUCAGAAUUCUGAUUUUGCCGGAUGUCUAUUGGAUUGCUGGCUAGCUUUUGAACAUUGUCAACUUCACAGAUUUAAAAUUGUAUCGGUGUUUUGUUGUAUGCAUAUUACUACAAUUUAAGAUUAAGUAUUUAGAUGUAUGUUUGUUUAUUUUGUUCAGUUAUUACGCGAAUAUUCUGUUAAUAUGUUUAAAUGAAAGCAUUAUUAGGCAAAGUUCACAUAUACUCGAUAUGUAAACAACGGCCAUGUGUAGUUUAUUUGCAGUGCACAUUAAUUGUUAUAGCCUCGUUCUCGGCUCUGUGACAAAUCUUGCGAUAAAAAUGAAUGUGGCUAGUUAUUUUCAUACACUGAUGUCUCAAGGACUCACCUGGUCAAGCAUCCAGGCCAGUGGUCAUUUUGAUGUUAGGAGAGCGUGAAUGAGCAUCUUGGAUUGCCAUUAAUACAUGUGUGCAACUAGAUUUUUAGGUUAUUUGGGAGUAUGUGGCUUUAAGGGACUUCAAUUAUGCUAAAGUAGGUUAUUUCAAAGUACAUUAGGGUAUGUUAAUUACACUGAAUUAGGUUAUUUCUUAUUACGUUGGGGUACGUUAAUUACGCUGAAGUAGGUUCUAAUUACGUUAGGGUAUGUUAAUUACGCUGAAGUAGGUUCUAAGUACAUUAAGGGACAUUAAUUAUGCUGACAUACCAGGUAGGUUAUUUCUAAUUUCGUUAGGGUACGUUAAUUACGCUAAAGUACGUUAUUUCUAAUUACGUUAAGGGACAUUAAUUACGCUGACAUACCAGGUAGGUUAUUUCUAAUUACGAUAGGGUAUGUUUAUUACGCAGAAGUAGGUUAUUUCUAAAGGUUAAGCUGUGUUAUGUAAUGCAUGUGUGGCCUAGCUUUCAUACACCGUAAUAUUUACCUGAUCAAGAUAAUUCACAUGGAUUUUUAUGAGAAAUGGUUUUAAUCGGUUGAUAGCUGAAAUAAGAAUGGGUGAAAAUGGAUAUAAUUUUAAAGUUGUGUUGCAUUUACGACAUAUCUCUAGUGAAAAAAGCUAUUUUCUGCCCCUUCAUAAUAUAUCUUCCAUGUAAAAAUAACUAAAAUCCAUGUACCCAAACUGAAGCAAGGGAGAAUAAUACAAAGAAGCUCGGGAUAGAUUGUUCACCCCAAAGAUUUCACAUAACCAUGCUGAUUUAACCUUGAUCCCAAAUCCUUGAGAAUGCCAUUUGGUUCAAAAGUCUGAAUGUCUAUCCUUGAUGAAAAAAAAAUUUACCGAGAAGUUGUACUUUGGUUUCUUGAAUUAUUUCAUUCCUUCAUCAUUCCUCAAUCCUAACUACCAAGUCAGGAUAAUCCAACCCACGACCUAAGCUCAAGGGUUAACCUCCAACCCCCACCCUCCACCCUGCCAAAAGGGAUAAGGGAUUUUUGUAUUGGUACAGAUCCAAUGGGUUAGGGGAGUUCUAGAGUGUCCCUCUGCCAGUCUAAAAUUAACCUCAACUCCUGAAAUUGACCUCAAUUCUGGAAGUAAUCCAUGUUAGGUAGCAUAUGGUUUAAUUGUUGUUGGUAUGUAUGAGUAAGUCUUUACUGAAUUUUAUUGAUACAAUGAAUUUGUGUGACAAUCGUAAGGUGUUUGGGAUUUUUUCCCCUUGGCACAAGUAUAUGUACCGAACAUUGAAAUUUACGUUAAGCUAUGAGAUACCAUAGUAUAUUGUAUGUCUGAUAUAUAUUUAUAUAUUUGCUCUGGAAAUCUACAGGGUAUAGAGGUAGCCUAUCUUUUAACUUCUCAUUGUUAACACCAAACAUUAUCUUUUUACCGUAUUUGCCAUAUGAAAUUUCCUUGGCUCUUGAAAGUUGAAUUUUUGUGAUUUGGAACUUGGAGUUAGUAAACAGAUUGAUUGGUUGUUACAAUUAAAAAAUAACGAGUCUUGAGAAAUUGAUUAAAAAAUUACCUUUACAUAUAUUGCUGACAUGGUCCCAUCAGAUUGAAUUCUCUUUUAAGGUAAUUCUUUUUGCAUUUUUUGUUUAAUUUAGAUUCAUGGUUAUUGGGUGAUUAUAUACGUAUAUGAUUAUAUAUACAAUGUACAUUGUAUAUUUAUAUAACUGUUAUGUUCAAUGAAAAAUGGAAGCAUGCACCUAGAAAGAGUAGGGUAAAUAUGGCAUUGAGCUGAUUUUAUUAUGUAUAGUUCUUUUUGUUCAGUUUUGUCUGAUAAGUUAUCGACUGAAUACACAGGACAGCCUUUCAUUAAAUUUUAAAUAGCUAUUCACAUUCACCACAGCUUGGAAAUAUCAUUUUACCAGUAGACUAAGCACAGGCUUAGAUAUGACAUUACUGCUUGAAUAUUUAUCAAUAUUGAUAAACUUUUUUUUUUUUUUUAAUUGAUGUAAGUUAAAGAAUAAAUUAAUUUUCUUACCAUAAAAAUCUUUGAUAUUGUUGAGUGUUAUAUUUUAGCAAAAAUUAGAAGUUUUUUAAUAAAAAACAAACCAAAAUUGUCUGGCCUACCAAAAUCCUCAAAAUCACUCUUUAUUGUGCAAUGUACAAAGUUCAUGUCUGGAUGUUGUAGCAUUAAUUAUAAUGGCUCGAUUAAGGCACAGGGACUUGAAACAAAUUCCCAAACCAUGUUCCAUAUAUGGUAUGCAUUACAAAUAUAUUAUUUAUGGACAAUUGGUGAGGAAUUGGUAUCAAAUCCCUGUGAUCUAUGGUAAUAGUUAAUCAAUGUAGAACUCAAAAUACAGGUAUAUACUUAAUUUUCAGUCAAAUUUCUAAUAACUCUAUAGAAUGAUUUUCCAUUACCAAAACUAUAACAUAGAAGUCAUUUAUGCAUUAAUUCUUUGUUUUCUAGUUCGACUGAACUAUUAGAGUGAUAUGGUGAAGCAAAGAUGUCCGACAUGCUCAUUAAUCAAAAAUUGAUAAUGAUACAUGCAUAUUGCAAGUCAUAUUUGGUGUUUAAUUUAUGAGCAUGUUAAUCACCUUUGAUUGAAGUUAGAAUUGUUUUUAGAUACAUUUCGUAUUGCGGACCAGGACCCACAUACAUGUAUACAUGGAUGUCACAGGAUUACAAGAAAUUGUCAAAAUUUUCAUUUUGCUCAAAUAUUGUGAUUUUUUUUAGACAGUGAGUCUUGCUUAGAUUAAGCAUCUUAUAGUUUUCUUCAAUUUGAGAUUUCUUCAGAACACAUGCAUUAGGAAUGCCAUUUCUUACCAAGUACAUUUGUAUAUGAGAUUUUCCUCAUAUUUGAGAUUGAGCAAAACAACACCCAGAAUUUUAGCAAGCAGUAAUACAUUAUCUUUGUAUAUGAAGAAAGUUUGGUGUUUUUCUUGUUUUCAUUUAACAUUUUUUUUUUUGGAUUAAAAAAAAAAGGUUGUAUUCCAAUGUAAUUUGGUUUUACUGGGUUGAUUUUGUUUAAAUCAUUGAAUAUCUCAGUUGCUUCCUAAAUUAUAUAACCAAUAUUCAAGUGGAUCACAAAAUGACAAAAGAUAGACUUUAUAUAGAAAUAUUAUAUAUAUAGAUGCUCAUUAAUAUGUAAAGAAAUGUAUGGGGAAUGUACAUAUCAUUUUUGAUUUUACAUGUGUUAUGUUACUCUUAUGAUCAACAGCAUUUUACAGUUCGAUCUGAGAAGAAUCGGAUCAUUCUAGUGUGUGUGGAAUAUUGUAUAUGUAAUUAAUUUCAUUGGCUUAAAUGUGUUAAGAAUUAUAAGUAAUAAAAUAUGUAUUACAUGAAAA